GACGAACGCUGGCGGCGUGCUUAACACAUGCAAGUCGAACGGGCCUUGUCCCCUUUUUUUUUGGGGGUGGGGUUAGUGGCGAACGGGUGAGUAACACGUGAGUAACCUGCCCCUCACUUCUGGAUAACCGCUUGAAAGGGUGGCUAAUACGGGGUGUUCUGGCCUGCUCGCAUGGGUGGGUUUGGAAAGAUUCGACCGGUUUUGGUUGUUUUGGUGGGGGAUGGGCUCGCGGCCUAUCAGCUUGUUGGUGGGGUGAUGGCCUGCCAAGGCUUUGACGGGUAGCCGGCCUGAGAGGGUGGGCGGUCACACUGGGACUGAGACACGGCCCAGACUCCUACGGGAGGCAGCAGUGGGGAAUAUUGCACAAUGGGCGCAAGCCUGAUGCAGCGACGCCGCGUGAGGGAUGGAGGCCUUCGGGUUGUGAACCUCUUUCGCCAGUGAAGAAGGUCCUGUUCUUUGUGGUGGGGUUGACGGUAGCUGGGUUAAUGAAGCGCCGGCUAACUACGUG
rnacentral:rRNA from 1 species